rnacentral:RNase_P_RNA from 1 species
CGCUGGCCUACCGCUGGUCGCCCCUUGGGACGGCGAGAGGAAAGUCCGGGCAGCAUAGGGCAAUCCGCUUCCUAACGGGAAGAAGUCCGCGAGGGCUUGCCGAUGCAGAAGAGAACGACCGCCGCAGCGUCUUUGCAAAGUUCGCAGAUGCGGUAAGGGUGAGAAGGUGGGGUAAGAGCCCACCAGGCGCAUGGCGACAUGCGUGCUGUGCAUCCCGGAUGCUGAAAGUUCAUGUAAACCAGCGCCAGAGGACGGCCCGUCCGAGCUGGAGGGUAGAACGAUAGAGGCCACUGGUGACAGGGGUCGUAGAUAAAUGGCAGGCACUUGCCGUCCGAAGGCGAGUACAGAACCCGGCUUACAGGCAGACUUU